rnacentral:rRNA from 1 species
UACGUAGGGGUGCAAGCGUUUGUCCGGAAUGAUUGGGCGUAAAGCGUCCGCAGGUGGCAGUUCAAGUCUGCUGUCAAAGACCGGGGGCUUAACUUCGGAAAGGCAGUGGAAACUGAACAGCUAGAGUAUGGUAGGGGCAGAGGGAAUUCCUGGUGUAGCGGUGAAAUGCGUAGAGAUCAGGAAGAACAUCGGUGGCGAAGGCGCUCUGCUGGACCAUAACUGACACUCAGGGACGAAAGCUAGGGGAGCGAAUGGG